UUUACCUCAUCGAUGGCCUUGUUGGUAUGCUGUCUGGCUUCUACUCGGAAGGCUCGGGUUCGAUUCCUGGCACUCGGAGGUGUUCAUUAUGGUUAAGGACAUAUGUUUGAGAAAUGCGUACGAGUGGAGGUCUCAGCAUGUUCGUUGUGCAGGCAAAUGUUUAUGGAAGUUGGAAAGGAAAGUUUGGUUUAGUGGGCGCAACAUCUGUGGUCAUAUCCCGGAGAGAGACAGAAGGGGAAGGAAUUAUGGGAGAAGUUGGAAAGUUUGGUUAAGUCGGUGCAACAUCUGUGGUCAUAUCCCGGAGAGAGACAGAAGGGGAAGGAAUUAUAGGAGAAGUUGGAAAGUUUGGUUUAGUCGGCGCAACAUCUGUGGUCAUAUCCCGGAGAGAGACAGGAGGGGAAGGAAUUAUAGGAGAAGGGAACAGUUGGAAAGUUUGGUUUAGUGGGCGCAACAUCUGUGGUCAUAUGCCGGAGAGAGACAGAAGGGGAAGGAAUUAUAGGAGAAGGGAACAGUUGGAAAGUUUGGUUUAUUGGCGCAACAUCUGUGGUCAUAUGCCGGAGAGAGACAGAAGGGGAAGGAAUUAUAGGAGAAGGGAACAGUUGGAAAGUUUUGUUUA